rnacentral:lncRNA from 1 species
AAAUCUACAUUUUACAUUUCCACUCGCUGGAACCAUCACGUUGUCACACCGGUGCUCAUUUUUCUCACAUUUCUAUGUUUCAGCAUUCAUCCUGCAUAAAACUCAAAUAAAAUGCAUAAACAAUAAUUUCAAUUACAACUUAAAAGGGUCCAACUCAUGCAAACCAUUGAACACCAACUUGAUGAAUUCAACUUUCAAGAGCAAAAGCAUUAGCUCCAACAAUUGCUUUGUGUGGCUGAAUACGCAGCCCACUAUAUCCUUCUACCUGAGACAGUGUUCAACAAUGUGAGGAUAUGUAUAUUAACAAAAAUGUGGGUAUAUAUCUCAAGAGAAUGACAAAAAUCAUAAAUGAUGAACACUACACCAAAUGACCAAAAUAUGUUAAUCCAAGAAAAAGGGCUUACAGAUCUUUUACUUGUGCUCACUGCACCAACUGCUCCGGAGCAUAACAAAAUCCCAGAAGCUGAUCAAUCACAGAAAUGCAGUAACUCAUUAAGUAGAACAAUUAUAGGAGAAAGAAUCAACAAAUUUUCAAUGUAAUUAGGCUGUAACAUGAAACAAUUUACUUAGUGAAACAAUUACUCCAAACUCUGUUAAAAGCAACGAAUUUGUAAGAAACAAAGCACAAUUCCCUCAAUGAAGAAAACCCCAAAAAUUAUCAAGAAAUUUUAAGCCAAAAAGGUUAUAAAAAAUGCUAACUUGCAGCAAUGAGACACCUCACCAACGCCCUCAUCCCCUCAUAUAACUGAAAGGUUCUACUUCAUUAUAUGGGAUACCUUUAUGUAAUUUUAUGUACACAAUUAUAAAGAACCACACACACAGAACCUACUUCCAUCAAGCAACAACAAAAGGUUAGCGCACUAAUGAAUGCAUAUUAAGGAAAAAGAAGAAGAAAAGUGAAAAAUGUGAAAUUAAAAUCAAAUUUACAUGUUAUCUCUGUUAAAAUAAAAGUGAAGAAUGUGAAGUUAAAAGUGAAAAAUUUGUUCUUUCACUUGUUCUCUCUGUUCUCCAUCCUUAUGUAUUUUUAGUUCUGCUCCUUCACCUGUUCUCAGCUGUUACAAAAAAAGUAGAAGAACAUACACAAAAAACACACAAAAACACAAAAGUAAGAAGAAUAUAUAUAUAUAUAUAUAUAUAUAUAUAUAUAUAUAUAUAUAUAUAUACGUAGCCUCUUCGUCGGCACAGUANGAAUUGCUCUUUGCUCGGAUCUGGAUAGCAUAUAAAAUUCAAAAUAUAGUAGGUAUCAUCAGAAAAAAUAGAGAAGAAAAUGCAGAUGCCGACAAUUUCUAUGAUUUUCACAAAAAAGAAAAUUCCUAAAAGAACUUUUUGUUCUUCAUCGGAUCUAUAAUUUUUCUAAUGAAUUUGUUCUUCAUCGGAUCUAAUAGCAUAUAAAAGUCGCUGUAAGAAAAAGUAUACCAAGGUUAGCUUAAAGUCAGAAAAUCAACUAUUAUAAAUAUAUACGCGACGAAAAAUAUUAUAUUACCUGUAUUUUGUUCUUCAUCGGAUCUACCUGGAUCUUAGUCUUCCCCAUUAAGAUUUUCACCAAAAGCGCGGGAGAAAUUUUGGGAGGAACUGUGAAUAUUGAGGGAAAGAAUGAAAGAAUGGGGAGAUAUUUUUUUUGAAAGGUGAAAGAAUGGGGAGAUAUACAGAGACACAGAUGUAAACGUAAAGAGAGAGAAAAAUAAAAUGAGCAGUAAAUAAAGUGAUGUAUACUGUGUAAGUACUCUUUUGCGUGAAAAGGCGGAAACAAUUAAUGAUUUCACGUGAUGCCUUCCAUGCUGCAAACAAAGUUCAUCCUUUACAGAUGAUAAUAAAAGAUAAAAAAAAAAAUACUAUGAAAUGCAAUUUGGCG